GAUGAACGCUGGCGGCGUGCCUAAUACAUGCAAGUCGAGCGAACAGACGAGGACCUUUCUCCUCUGACUUUAUCGGCGGUCGGGUGAUUAACAUGUGGUUAACCUACCUAUAAGACUGGGAUACUUUCGGCAAACCGGAUCUACUACCGGAUAAUUUAUUGACCUUCAUUGUUCCCUAGUUAAAUUCGGUUUUUCUUUCACUUAUAGCUUAAUCCGCGCCGCAUGAGCUAGUUGGUAAGGUAACGGCUUACCAAGGCAACGAUGCGUAGCCGACCUAAAAGGGAGGACGGAUAGACGGGAAGAGAGACACGGUCGAGACACCUACGGGAGGAAGCAGUAGGGAAUCUUACGCGAGGGACGAGAGGCGGACGGAGCAAAGCGGGGGGAGUGAUGAAGGUGUUAGGAUCGGAGAGCUAUGUAGUUAGGGAAGAACAAAUGUGUAAGUAACUAUGAACGUAUUGACGGUACCGAGUCAGAAAGCCACGGCUAACUACGUG
rnacentral:rRNA from 1 species